GAUGAACGCUGGCGGCGUGCCUAAUACAUGCAAGUCGAGCGAACAGAUGAGGAGCUUGCUCCUCUGACGUUAGCGGCGGACGGGUGAGUAACACGUGGAUAACCUACCUAUAAGACUGGGAUAACUUCGGUAAACCGGAGCUAAUACCGGAUAAUAUAUUGAACCGCAUGGUUCAAUAGUGAAAGACGGUUUUGCUGUCACUUAUAGAUGGAUCCGCGCCGCAUUAGCUAGUUGGUAAGGUAACGGCUUACCAAGGCAACGAUGCGUAGCCGACCUGAGAGGGUGAUCGGCCACACUGGAAAUGAGACACGGUCCAGACUCCUACGGGAGGCAGCAGUAGGGAAUCUUCCGCAAUGGGCGAAAGCCUGACGGAGCAACGCCGCGUGAGUGAUGAAGGUCUUCGGAUCGUAAAACUCUGUUAUUAGGGAAGAACAAAUGUGUAAGUAACUAUGCACGUCUUGACGGUACCUAAUCAGAAAGCCACGGCUAACUACGUG
rnacentral:rRNA from 1 species